rnacentral:rRNA from 1 species
GACGAACGCUGGCGGCGUGCCUAAUACAUGCAAGUCGAGCGCAGGAAGUCAUCCGAACUCUUCGGGGGGACGUUGGCGGAAUGAGCGGCGGACGGGGGAGUAACACGUAAAGAACCUGCCCUCAGGUCUGGGAUAACCACGAGAAAUCGGGGCUAAUACCGGAUGGGUCAUCGGACCGCAUGGUCCGAGGAUGAAAGGCGCUCCGGCGUCGCCUGGGGAUGGCUUUGCGGUGCAUGAGCUAGUUGGUGGGGUAAUGGCCCACCAAGGCGACGAUGCAUAGACGACCUGAGAGGGUGGUCGGCCACACUAGGACUGAGCCACGGCCCAGACUCCUACGGGACGCCGCAGAAGGGAAUCUUCCACAAUGGACGAAAGUCUGGUGGAGCAACGCCGCGUGAACGAUGAAAGCGCUCGGGUCGUAAAGUUCUGUUGUAAGGGAAGAACAAGUGCCGCAGGCAAUGGCGGCACCUUGACGGUACCUUGCGAGAAAGCCACGGCUAACUACGUG